UUUGCGGUUUUUUUUCUUUUUGGGCAGCAAUAGAAACUCUCACUAAGACUGUGGGUAAAGUGAUUUCUACAAGGUGGCCAGCGUCAUCAAAUGCUUCCCCCGGAGAGGAUGGAGGAGACAGCAGAUUGGAGGUUGCUGGGACACUGUGAUACCAGGACCACAGACCCAGGGUGUGCACCAUGAUAGCUGAAGAGCUGAUUAACUCCUGCAGGAAAUGUAUAGCAGAAUGAUAUCACCUCAGGCCAUCCUGGAGCUCACAGCAAACUGGUUCUGCUCAUGCUCACUGUCACAGAAAGGCCAUCCUGGGAAGUGAGGACAGCUUAUCCUUCUGGUUUAUCUGGGCAGUGAUGGCCCAAGAGCUCCAGCAGCUACAGGCACAUAUGCAGGGACCAAGUGCAUUCCUCCCCUGUUGCCCUCAGCUGUGCCCCAGAUCCAGCCCAGAUGAGUGGUACUCUCCUCAGUGAGGAGGCUGGAGGGAGACCUCAGGCCAGACCGUCCCGGUCCCUUGUCUUGGCUCAGGGACUACUCUGUGCUCCUGGGGACCUUGUUUGGAAGGAAUGUGUUGAUCUAGUUCUCCAGGGGUAGGGCCGAGGAGUUCCAUGGCCCUGGACUGUAGUGUACUAACCACGGACCAUAUUCUUGUUAAGACACCAGACGUGAGGCAGGGUCCCAGUCCAGCCUGUCCUCAUCCUAACUGUGGUGUUUGGAAGACCUCACCAGGGGAACAGACAUCUAUCUAGAGUUCAUUUUGCUCUCCACUUGCAUUUUACAGCCACAUCCUGACUUCUCAUUCCGAGUGGGUCAACCACUGUGAUGUGCUAUAUUGCGACAAGGGAUCAGAGUGGUGGUGUCAGAACCCUUUGUCCUCUCCUGCUUCCCUGGCUGGGUUCUGGAUACGGCAAGGAGACCCUUCAAGUGUGGGUAAAGCCAUGCCACAGGGAAGCAUUGACGGCUUGGGUCAGCCUCUGGAGGGAAGAAGUACCGCCCCUGCCCAGCUUAGCCUGGUCCUGAUAACUCCCUGAGGUAGUGGAAGUCUGGCUUAGCAAGCACUGGCCAGGUCUCUAGACUCCCUGCCCUCACACAGAGUUGAAGGCAACAGAUGGCACAAGACCCCACCAGGUCACAGGGGCAAACUGGCAAGUCAGAAUUGGACUCAGCUAGGGCCAGAAGUGCUCAGGAGAGACCAGAUGCACUGGAGGGAGCUGUCCCCAGGCGCUGUAAUGACCAGAUCUUGCUGGCAGUCUAAUGAGGCCUAGAAACCCACAAGUCCUCUGGCUACUACACACCCUGGGACCACCUGUCCCACCUCUGCUGCUCUUGCUCUAGCAAGGGCAUGUCCCUCACUACUGGCUGGACACUUGGAUGACCUUGACUUCCUAGUCCAGGCACCAGCUUGGAACCCCUGAGGGUAGUGAGCUGGAAGCUGGCCUUCCCCCCCUCCCGAGGGGAGACCUUGAGUUGGGUGAGAUUAACUGUGAGCCUCAGGGGGAGGUUCAACUCAGAUCCCAGGGAGAGAUGACCAACUCAAGACCCCCACCCUAUACCACUGUUGUCUCAGGAUGUGGCCCCCUAAGGAAUGGCCUCCAAAGAUGGCCAUAUCCUGGAACCUGCAGAGAUGGUACCUGGCAUGGCAAAGGCUCUGAUGACAGGAUUCAAUGGAGGUCUCAAGUGGUAGGUGAUCCUAAUUGCUGUGGGGUCCAGUGUCACACAUUAGGAAGCGGGAAGGUCUGAAUCGUGAGACUUGAAAGGUGCUGUGUCUGAUAGCAAACACGGAGAAAGGGCCACAAGCCCAAAGUGCUUCAGCCUUGUGCCUGGCACUUUCAGAAGCAGCUGAUGCUGCCAUCUCACCUGAAUACACCCAGCCUCUCGAUCUCUAAAUAACAAAGGUCUCCUUAAAUGGAAGAAGUAGGCAGUAGUCUCUGGACACCAGACUGUCUGUUCUGUCCCUGUCAGCCUCUGCAGGACCCCACAUCCCCUCGUGCUGAAUGGCCAAAUAGGGACCCAAGGAUCUCUUCUCUAAGACCCUCCUACCCCCUUGCCUUCCUCUGAUUUGCUCCAAUGCUUUACACCUAAGUCCUUAACAAAGUUAUGGUCAUGGAACUCCUAAGUCUCACCAUUCAACGUCACUGUCAAAGGUCAAGGAGCCAGGUGGCACGAGAACUCAGGAGCAACUGAACUGUUGGAUCGUUAGCCAAUGGCUGGUCUUCAGCUCCUUGCAGGUGGAUCACCUGGGCAUACUCCAUCUCUCAGUGCCCACCAGAGAAUUAUUCGGGAAGCCUUAGGGCUGGCCCUAAAGCACCCAAUAGUUCCCUGAGACAGAAGAGAGUGAAGGGUGAGCUGCCGGCCACCACAAGCACACGCUUUCCUUUGAGGACUGUUUUGGGGAAUCCAGGUGCUCUUUCUGAGCAGUAACCACCAGGGACCAGCAGGGGAGAAAUGACCACACUAAGACAACUGCAAUGAAAAUAUUUAUUUGUGGAUAGUCAUAGAAGACAACAGACCAGCACAAAACAGACACAGCUACACAGUGCUGACAGGUGCUCAUGUCCACAAACACAUUGACAGGGGACACAGUACACAGGGCUUGGGGACUUGGGCAGGAGACCACCUGAGCCCGGAGCACACCCCUCCUGCGCAGCAGGGACUGAGGGGCCAACUGUGCUUUGCUCUGAAGGCCAGGGGACUCCACAGAGGGGUGGUCUCUGGGGAGGACUAGCAGGGUCGGGCCAGCCCCACAGGUGCAGCCCAUCCUCCAAUUGGUCCAGGUUCUCAACACACGGCUGAAGUUCUGACAGGCUGUGUGUCAGGAAUGGGCAGCUAUGAAGCUAGGAGCAUUUGAGGAGCCUGUGUCUCAUCCUCCAUUCACAAAACACUGACCCCUCCCCCAUCAUUCAGAAAAUGGUUUCAGGAUGUUUUUUUGGGACUCACUCAGGCCUGAGCUUUGAGGGGAUCUUCCUGCUCUGUGGGAUAUGAGAAGGAUAUGCUAAGCCCAUGUCCUCUAUUGUGUUCUGUCACCGCCCCCCCCCCCCCGGACAUAUCCUCCAUGUCAGGCAUGAAACUGGCAGCUCAGAGGCUUCCAGAGCCCCCAGUCCAAGUCACCUACACCUGCCUGCAUGGGGCACUGCCUAGCCCUGCAAGGCAGGCCAUGAGGUGCAGUCAUGGCUUUACCCAACGUCUCAUGGGACCUGCUGGCUCUAUAGGAUGGGCAGUGAGGUAUGGCCAAGGUUAUACCCAAGGCCUUCUGGGAGCUUCCAGCCAUGGAUGUCUGUUCCCACCCAUCUGUAGCUUCAGGGCAGAGGCAGCCCUAACUGGCUAUUCAAGAGCUGACGGGGACAGGGUGGGGUUCCCACGGGGACAGAGUGGGGUUCCCACGGCAUCAGGGAGACCUUUUCCACCUGGAAUGUGUAUCCUAUUGCACAAAGACCAGAAACUGCCUGAUGGUGAAACAGGGGAAGGAAUGAGGAGAUGCUGGCCCAGGGGAGCUCAGCCACAAGCAGGGAGGUAAUCCAAGGGAGAUGGAGACGCCUGCUCUGAGGAUAUCCUCUGCCUGCUUCAAUAGUGGGGAAUCUUAAAAUUGUGUUUAUUCCACUAGAAAUU
rnacentral:lncRNA from 1 species